ACGAACGCUUGCGGCGUGCUUAACACAUGCCAGUCGGACCGAAAGGCCCUGCUUUUGUGGGGUGCUCGUGUGGCGAAUGGGUGAGUAACACCUUAGUAACCUGCUCUUUACUUUGGGAUAACUUCAGUAAACUGUGGCUACUACCGGCUAGGAGCUCCUGCUGCUUGGUUGGGGUUGGAAAGUUUCGGCGGUUGGGGAUGGUCUCGCGGCUUAUCAGCUUGUUGGUGGGGUAGUGGUUUACCAAGGCUUUGCCAGGUAGCCGGCCUGAGAGGGUGACCGGCCACAUUGGGACUGAGAUACGGCACAGACUCGUACGGGAGGCAGCGGUGGGGAAUAUUGCACAAUGGGCGGAAGCAUGAUGCAGCAACGCAGCGUGCGGGAUGACGGGAUUCGGGUUGUGAACCGAUGUCGCCUGUGACGAAGCGUGAGUGACGGUAAUGGGUAAAGAAGCACCGGCUAACUACGUG
rnacentral:rRNA from 1 species